ensembl:piRNA 21ur-14301 ncRNA
UUCUUGUACAUGAAGUUUAAA